UACGUAGGUGGCAAGCGUUGUCCGGAUUUAUUGGGUUUAAAGGGUGCGUAGGCGGCUUUGUAAGUCAGUGGUGAAAUAUGGCAGCUCAACUGUCAGGGUGCCAUUGAUACUGCGGAGCUUGAGUACAGAUGAGGUAGGCGGAAUUGACGGUGUAGCGGUGAAAUGCUUAGAUAUCGUCAAGAACACCGAUAGCGAAGGCAGCUUACUAGGCUGUAACUGACGCUGAGGCACGAAAAGUGUGGGGAUCAAACAGGG
rnacentral:rRNA from 1 species